rnacentral:rRNA from 1 species
UACGAAGGGGGCUAGCGUUGUUCGGAAUCACUGGGCGUAAAGCGCACGUAGGCGGAUCUUUAAGUCGGGGGUGAAAUCCUGGAGCUCAACUCCAGAACUGCCUUCGAUACUGGAAAGCUCGAGUCCGGGAGAGGUGAGUGGAACUGCGAGUGUAGAGGUGAAAUUCGUAGAUAUUCGCAAGAACACCAGUGGCGAAGGCGGCUCACUGGCCCGGUACUGACGCUGAGGUGCGAAAGCGUGGGGAGCAAACAGG